AUUGAACGCUGGCGGAAUGCUUUACACAUGCAAGUCGAACGGCAGCACGGACUUCGGUCUGGUGGCGAGUGGCGAACGGGUGAGUAAUGUAUCGGAACGUGCCCAGUCGUGGGGGAUAACGUAGUGAAAAUUACGCUAAUACCGCAUACGAUCUAUGGAUGAAAGCGGGGGAUCGCAAGACCUCGCGCGAUUGGAGCGGCCGAUAUCAGAUUAGGUAGUUGGUGGGGUAAAGGCCCACCAAGCCAACGAUCUGUAGCUGGUCUGAGAGGACGACCAGCCACACUGGAACUGAGACACGGUCCAGACUCCGACGGGAGGCAGAAGUGGGGAAUUUUGGACAAUGGGCGAAAGCCUGAUCCAGCCAUUCCGCGUGCAGGAUGAGGGCCCUCGGGUUGUAAACUGCUUUUGUACAGAACGAAAAGGUUUCUACUAAUACUAGGAGCUCAUGACGGUACUGUAAGAAUAAGCACCGGCUAACUACGUGCCAGCAGCCGCCGUAA
rnacentral:rRNA from 1 species